UCUGUAAUCGGAAAAGCAUUU
rnacentral:piRNA from 1 species